rnacentral:lncRNA from 1 species
UAUUGUCACGAUUUCGAAAACGGGAGCCGUUAACAAUGGCAAAGUCGUCAAUGGCGACUAAUUGCGUCCCGGAGGUUUCAACCAACGUAUCGUAGUCACAUCGGAUCAAGGCAGGUCUGUUGUUGAUGAUGAUGACCCCAUCGUCCACGAGGGUGAUGGGCUCCAGGUGGCUGGGUUGAGAGUGACAAUGCGCAGGGCCUCCGGAGUGUAGCCCUUGCGCGCAGGAGCCCUCCGAUUCCCUUCUGCAGAACGGGGUGAUAGUAGCAGUGGUGCAGCCCGUAACGGCCCACACCUGGCUUCCGCACUCAGCCACGACGUUGUCCUUAAGUUGCAGUAUGGUACCGUUGUGCCCAACCGGGAAUAGCGUGACUUUCUUACAAGCUAAAAUUACUCUAGGGUACCCAAUAAUAAAAUGUAUAAUGUUAUUUGAUUGUAAGACCUUGAUACUGGAUACUUCUAGUAGAUUUGAAAUUGUGACUCCUGUGAAUUGUUUAGCGAGGAUGGUUUCUAUGUCAGCAUGGUCAAGUACAGAAGGGCUUACCAAGUUGGCUUUGGCCAAGGUGAUUGUGAGCAUUAAAUUACCUAAUUCUGUGAUAAGAAUUCUAUUUCUGGCUAAUAAUGUUUCGUACAAGUGGGCAGUGUUGAUGUGUUUCCUUUUUUCUAUGCUAAGAAUCUUAUAAGUACCACCACAAUUAUCUUUCUUAAAUCUAACCGGUACAACUAUUUAAGGUUGUCCUUAUGGACCACCCUCCCUCUAAUCAGGACUGUUGUCCCCAAGUCCGCCUCCACCGCUUCUUCCACGUAAAGCGGAGUCAACUUGUUCCCGAGACAUCUGUUAGAUUUUACCAACACCUUUUCCCCUACCCUAAACACUCUGUUUUGUCGUGUCUGGUUAACUCGGUUGUUUUGCAUAAUCUGAGCUUUUUGAACCUUAUUCUGUAUUUCCCUGCAGGCAACUGCGACAGCACAGUGAAAAAUGUCUACUGGCCUUUUAUUGGUGACCGAAUGUAAUGACCUGUUGUACUCUACAGUUCCUGUUUCCCAGGGUGUCUGUCAUACUUUGAUCGGGAGCAGAUCUUACAGUUCAUGACUACCUCGCUUGCCAGUUUAGUCAUUUUGGGAAAAUAGUAAUCGGUCAAAACGGUGUUUUACACUUUCCUGAGCGACUCUAUGAGCUCGAUUGUGUUCUACCGUGAUGAUUUCU